UUCCCUGUGGCUCAGUUGGUAGAGCAUGGUGUUUGCAACGCCAGCAUGGUGUGUGCAACGCCAGGGUUGUGGGUUCGAUUCCCACAGGGGGGC
rnacentral:tRNA from 1 species